rnacentral:tRNA from 1 species
UCGCUUGUGGUUUAGUGGUUAGGACCUGACAUUUGCACUGCCACAGCCCAGGUUCAAUCCCUGGUCUGAGAA